UUGUGCAGAGAAGGUGGCUGCUUGUGCAGAGAAGGUGGGCUGCUUGCUCAUCCUUAUCCUACUUUGAGCUCUGCCAUUCUCCUUUAAGAAAUAAGUGGGUUUUUUUGUUUUUUGUUUUUCUCUCCCCACACAUUCUAGUACAUUUUUUUUUUUUCUGGCCUUGCCUGGAACAGCUCACCUUUUCUGGCUCUGCAAGAUAGGAGAAACCUUUUGAAUGCAGCUGCUUGUUUGGGCUGAUAGAGGGGCCUGAGCAGACAUUUAUUCAUUCCUUUUAGAAGACAGGCUCUUCUCUUCCCUCUGGAGUUACCUCUUGCCAAAGUGGCUGCUGUCUGGCAACCAGGCAGUCUGGGAUGGUCAAGUUUCAAAUGUCACCACGCAAAUGGCAGUUCCAAGGAUGGAAAUGCCAAACCUUAAAUGUCCCUCAAAUACAUGUUUUCCCAAGUAGUGAUUUGCCACAGAAAUAAACAGCAAUUACUCAGAAGUGCCCCGUCUCUGCACCUCUGUUCCCCUACCAGUGUUCCAAAACCAUUACGCAGAGUACUUUGCAAUGAAAAGAUGUCUCGGUGUGGCCUGCUUAGUAUUUUGAAGCAUAGAAAUGGAAGAUGGUAGGGCACAUAUUCUGCAGAACCAAUAAAUGACAGAAUCAUCACUGGCCUAGUUUUCCGAGUCACUGUGACAGACACAAGGGAUUGCUUUUAAAGCUGCUGAUGACACAUCAAGAAGAGGGAAGAGGGUGUCUCUGCUUUAGAAAAGAAACUUGAAUCUUCUUUCUGACUUAGAAAUAAGUUUUGAAUUCAGACUUUUUUUUUUCAAAGAUGAUGCACAGAAAAUAAAAGGCAAAUGACAGGGAACUUACCUGAAAACCCUGAUAGAGAAACCUUACCCAAUAGCCUGUGAAGACACUAGCAGAGAGAAUGGGGCACAUUUUUUUGCUAUUUAGGGUGCUGGGGAUGGCAUCAGUGACUGCUGGGGAAAUUUCGCCACAGAGCAAUGAGCCAAGGAAAACAUUCCUAUUUAACUAUUAUAGGCUGCUGUAAUUCAGUCUCCUCACCAUGAACAGCAAAUGAGUCAAGCUAACUAAUGCAGAAGGUUGGACUCGUUUUCUCUUGAGGAGCCCCAGGAGGAUUUCCAUAGUGUCUUUUUGCUUGCGCAACCCAGUUCUUUUCUUGCUUGUGGAGUUACUAAUCCAGCUCCAGGUGUGGUUGAGAUCAGGAGAAAUGAGAGGAUGAGCUCCCAGGAAUUGCUGGGCCAGCUUUUGAUGGUCUGAGAGAGGUGAGUGAACCUUCUGGGGGGCCAGUGAUGUCUUUAACAUUUACCCCUUGGGGAAAGUGGGUAGCUCAAGUUGUUUGACCCUUACACACAAAUCCCAGUUGAAAGGAAAAAAGUCUCCCCCCGCCCCACCAUCAUGCAGACCCUUUCACUGAAGCAAACAUAUCAGAAAAUAAUCCAUACUAUAUGCCCUGGUUGAAUCAUUGUUUUAUAAGGUCCCUGGGAUAAUCUCCCUUUGAGACUCUUGCUUUAUAUCCAAACUUUUUUCUUUGGUUACUAGACUGUCUACUCAAUUAGUUGAAGCUUACAGACUUUAAAGGAAAAGGCUGGAGUUCCUGUUGUGGCUCAGUAGGUUAAGAACUGGCAGAGUAUGAGUAUGCGGAUUUGAUCCCUGGCCUUGCUCAGUGCGUUAAGGAUCAGGUGUUGCUGUAACUGCAGUGUGGGUCCCAGAUGUGGCUCAGAUCCGAUAUUGCUGUGGCUGUGGCCCCAGUGGCAGCUCCGAUUUGACCCCUAGCCUGGGAACUUCCAUAUGUAGCAGGCAUGGCAAAAAAAAAAGAGAGAGAAGCAGUAGUUUGAGUUUUGAUGCCAUAUACAGGUUUGGCAGCUUUAGGAACUAAUAUAGAACUCCCUUUUAAGUACGAAUUACAGAUAAACUGAAUAUUUUAGUAUAAGUAUAUCCAAAAUAUUAUAUGGGUCAUACUUACACUAAAAUUGUUCACUGUUCAACUGAAGUAUUUACGCUAAAAAUCCUUGUUCACCUGAAAUUCAGUUUUACCUGGGAGUUCAAUAUUUUAUCUGGCAAAUGUAGCACAAUACUAAAUUAAAACAGUAAAAUUAUAAUGGGAUCUUAGAUAAAUACUUUUAAGGGACUGGAUGGGGGUGUGAGAGGGAUGCAUUUACUUGUGUCUGGGCACCCCGGCUUCUGAACACCAGGCUAUCCUUGUUGAGAAGGCCUUCUCCUGUUGUCCUGGCAACAGAACUGCCAAUGGCCAUCCCUCUAGUUCAGCCUGGGGUGCUGCUGUUACCCCUAGGGAGAUCUGCUGGAGAGGAGCUGUUUCUCCCCAGGCUCCGAGGAGACCUGCAGACCCUGAACAACAACACCUCCCCUAUGGAGAUGUAGCAUGUUCUGCCAGGAGUGAGGGGAACUUAGACUGUUUCAUCCCAUUUUUGAUUUGGAAUCUUCUCUUUUUCCUACUGGGACUAGGAAAAAAAGAAAGCUGUAUCAGGGCUUAAACUUUACGUGCACUCACACUCUGUGUUUUCUGUGUAAUGGCUGGAAGUUCAUCUUGAAUUAGAUUCAUGCAGACAUUCAUGCAGAACAGAGUGGUAUAAGUAUCACAGUGAAGGGUGACAUUGGCUGUGGAAGGGUUGUUUGCUAACAACUUUUCAGCUUAAGGGACGUUAUUUUGUGGAAUUAUGAGUGAAUGAAUUUUUUUUUUUUUUUGUCUUUUUAGGGCCACCCCCAUGGCCUAUGGAAGUUCCCAGGCUAGGGGUGGAAUUGGAGCUGCAGCUGCCGGCGUACGCCACAGCCACAGCAGUGCUGGAUCCACGCUGUGUCUGCAACUUACACCACAGCUCACAGCAGCACCAGAUCAUUAACCUACUGAAUGAGGCUAGGGAUCAAACCCAUGUCCUCACGGAUACUAGUCGGGUUCAUCACCAUUGAACCAUAAUGGGAACUCCUGAAUGAAUUUUAAAAAAAUUGAUUACUCUAGUUCCGGGGCAGAAUUUCUUCUUCUUCUUCUACACUUUUUUUAAAAUUAUAGUUGAUUUGCAAUGUUGUGCCAAUUUGAAUUUUUAAAACUGAUUUAACUUGGGAAAGAUGACAUUUUUGACAGGUCUUAAAGUGAGAAAAUGAAGUUGGAAGGGGAAUGUUUCUGAUUGUCCAAUAUUUUCUUCAUUCUCUGAACUCACUGAUUCACAUUAAAAGAGCUUACUGAGCACCUACCGUGUACGGAGCACAGCUCUGAGUACUCAGUGGUGAAUAUGACAUGAUUCCUAAAGGUACUUGGCUGCUUGCAGUUGGUUGAAAGCCUGGCAGAAGAGACAUAUAAAUCGUUGAAGAUAAUGCAGUAUAACAAGUGCUGUGAAAGUGGUAAUUUGAGAUUGUUUUUAAGUGUAUGAGGAGGGGCUAGUCCCAGACUGGGUGGCAGAGGGAAGAAUAGAAGUUUUCUUGGAGGAGGUGGUAGUUAAAACGGCCUCUGAAGGGGAAGGAGGAUUUGUGCAGAAGAACUGGAGGAAGGUUUUUCCAGGUAGAGCGGGAAGCAUAUGUACUGGCCCUGGGGGAGGACUCAUUGUGAUAGAAGUGCAGGUGGCCAUCCAGAAGUAUUACUGUAUGUGGGGACAAGCAGGGUAGAGUAAAGUGAGGCUGGAAAGAUGAGAUGGGCCACAUCUCCAAGAGCUGCUUGGAAUAAUCAGGGAUUUGGAUGUUAACCUGAGAGCAUCUGGGGGUCCAGCAAGGUCGUUCCAUCAUGGGAGCAGCAUGGCCAGAUCUGCAUUUUAUUUUAUUUUUUUAACUUAAAGUUUUUUUUUAAAUUAAAGUAUAAUUGAUUUACACUGUUGUGUCUAUUUCUGCUGUUUAACAUAGUGACCCAGUCAUACAUAUAUACACAUUCUUUUUCUUGUAUUAUCUUUCAUCAUGUUCAUUUAGAGUCAUCACUCUGUCUGCAGGGUGGAGACAAGAGAGGCAGGAGGCAGGACUUGCAUCAGGUGAUGGGUUUGAGGACAGUGUCAGUCACCCAAAGUGGGCAGGAGGGUGGUCAGAACAAGAUGUCAGAAGUGGAGAGGAAGAGAAGUGGGCGGGGAGUUGGGGGGGACUUUGGUUUGGGAGAUUGAGAUGAUUGGCCUUGAGUGGCCGUGUGGAUUUGACGUGUGGGAGGUGUCAGGCAACCAGGAGACAAGAAAUGCAAGGAAAGACAAAUUGGGACUAUGCAUGAAGAAGCGAAAAGUCAUUGUGUUGCUUUAGAAAUUCCUCAGAGCAAGUGGGAUGACCACCUACCUCAGUUCCAUUACACCCAAUAGCCCUUCUUUGACUGCUUAAUGUGGGCCAGGGACUAGGGGCACGAGGAUGCUGCCAGGGCUUUCCCCUGCCCUGUGGAAGCUCUUGGGAAACCGUGGACCUCAUGGUCUGCUGAGGGAGAGGGACACACAUAUAUAUGUUCACCAUAAUAAUGUGAGGCUUAGGCAUUUGUAUUCAUUAAAGUCGUUUUGCUUGCUUCUAACAGAAAACCCAGGUCCACUGGACCUGAGCAAUAAAAUUUUCUCUUAUAUAACAUAUCCAUCCAGCUUGAUAGGGUUCAUGCUAGCUCUAAUAUAUUGCAUCAGAUAAGUCAAAAAGGACCCUUUCUCAGUUUCUCAUACUUUUAUAGAGUCAGUGUCUUUCUCAAACUGUCAUCUUCUCAUGUUUGCAAGAAGUUUUGCUUUUCCUUUUCCUUUUCCAGCCACUCUCUUAAGAAGAACAGAUUAGCUGCUUUCUCCAGAACAAACAGCACACUUCUCCUCUUGCAUCUUUGUCUUGAUCUAUAUCUGAAUCAUUAGUUGCAGCCAGGGAUUUGGAUAACUGGUUUGUCUGAGCUGCAUACCCUCAACAAUGUAUGCUGCACAGGGGGUGUGUGGAUAUAUGUGGGUAUAUGGGUCCAAAUAAGAAUUUGCGAAGUGAAGUUCCCAUUCUGGCUCAGCAGGUUAAGGACCUGACUAGUUUCCAUGAGGAUGCAUGUUUGAUCCCUGGCCUCACUCAGUGGGUUAAUGGAUCCGGCGUUGCCAUGAGCCGUAGAGCAGGUUGCAGAUGUGGCUGGGAUCUGGCAUUGCUAUGGCUGUGGCACAGGCCAGCAGCUAUAGCUCUGAUUCGACCCCUAGCCUGGGAACUUCCAUAUGCUGCA
rnacentral:lncRNA from 1 species